CAAAAUAUUUCGUUUGUGGGGCUGCUGCCACAUCCUAAAUGGCCCAGCAAGGCAUGCGGCAAUAUAUAUAUAUAUAUAUUAGAUAGGGCAUUCAAUUUUAGAGGUGGAGUGUGUCACAGCCUGAAGGAGUGCAGUUGUCACUGCAUUCAAUUAAAAAAGCAAGCGGGGUCCAUUUCACUCAUUCAUUUCCUCUUGCAGCAGCGGCCCAAGAC
rnacentral:lncRNA from 1 species